GGACUUGACUACGAGAAGGAGAAGUUGCUAUCCUUGACCAUUAUUGCGACUGAUUCUGGAUCGCCACCUCUCUCAUCGGAGGCCGUCGUGACUGUACAGGUGUGUUACUAAAGUUCAUUAUAAAUCUGUUUUCAUGCUACCAAACUCACCUCUCCCACUUUCCUGAUAGGGUGCGAAACCGACAGUGGAGCUAGCUGUAUGAUUAUACCUCAGAGUCGAGUUGCUUGAAAGUGCUGCUUAAAGUGGGUGAAGAGCUUCAUCUAAGGCUGAAUAUAGACGCGAACUCGAUAGCAAACAGGUGCUGUGAAGGGAAGUUGCAAAGAGCUUUGAAGAGAGAGUUCAAGAGAACGUGAAAUCGCUGGAGUGGAACCGAAGAGAGUUGACGUAACCGGGUAACUAAAUUUCCUAAUGUCGCUUAGUUGUGGCUACAGGUAAUGUUACCUGUGGUUGUGGUCUGCGCAGGGCGUUUUCGAGCUGGGAACAUGAUUUUAUAGAAAUGUGGUCACACUUGUGUAUAUGCGCAUACCACAUUUACGCAUAUAUCAUGCACUUACACAUACACAUUCGGCGAAUUAUUCAUAAUGCUUUUUCCCAUCAGAUAUAAAUAUUAGCGGUUAUAUUGUAUGCUAUUUGUAGCAAAAUAGUACUUGGAACUGCAGUGGAUUGGAGAACGUGUUCUCAUAUGUUCGGCCUUUAUUCAGAAUGAUUUUGCGUCUGACCUAAAAGGCAUCUUUUGCGGACCACUACUUGUAAAUCUCAGUGCUUCCAUUCUAACAAACUGCCUCAACAGUAACAGUAAGUGUUCGGCCCCAUAGUUUCAAGGCUUGCUAAACCUCGCCAGGAUUUGACCCCCGUUAUGGCGAAACUUGUUCGCAUCACUCUUAAUUACUCCACUUGCGUCAGCAAACCUCAUUUUUGGAAAUCAAGUGUGAAAUGAACAACUGAAAACAGAACAUGUU
rnacentral:ncRNA from 1 species